rnacentral:rRNA from 1 species
AACAAACGCUGGCGGCGUGCCUAACACAUGCAAGUCGUACGAGAAAGGGUCCUUCGGGGCCUGAGCGAAGUGGCGCACGGGUGAGUAACGCGUGGAUAAUCUGCCCUUCAGUUGGGAAUAACUCAUCGAAAGGUGGGCUAAUACCGAAUAAUGCUGUGAGACCUCGGUUGAUCAGCCAAAGAGAGCCUCUGCUUGCAAGCCCUCGCUGAAGGAUGAGUCCGCGUACCAUUAGCUAGUUGGUAGGGUAAUGACCUACCAAGGCGACGAUGGUUAGCUGGUCUGAGAGGAUGAUCAGCCACACUGGAACUGAGACACGGUCCAGACUCCUACGGGAGGCAGCAGUGAGGAAUCUUGCGCAAUGGGGCAACCCUGACGCAGCAACGCCGCGUGAGUGAGGAAGGUCUUCGGAUCGUAAAGCUCUGUCGGAUGGAAAGAACCGCAUAGGGGUAAACAGCCCCUGUGUCUGACGGUACCAUCUAAGGAAGCACCGGCUAACUCCGUGCCAGCCGCCGCCGUAAGAC